CUAUACCCGAAUAAUGCAACACUCAUAGAGCUUCAGCAACCAAACACGGACCCGGACAACAAAAUACUACAACUGAAAGUACAGCCUUUAGUCUCAGUAAAAUCCCUACACGUACAGCCGGGAUGUACUGACUGAGGGAGUCUAUACGUUUGAGGCUUCAGAGCCUAUAUAAAACUCUAAAAUUGCAUAUAAAGUCUGGAUAACAUCUUAAAUACACAAAAUUCAGCCUCUUCCAAGAUUUCAGAGCAGGAAGAGUUAUUCAGUUGACAAUGCUUAGGGACACAAAAUAAGCCUCUGCAGUCUCUUUGCACCCUUUUAUGCAAAUGACGAAAGCAGGACCAAAAGAAGGGGCGUUGGGGAUAUGUGGAAGGUAGAGGGGGAGCCCUUAUCUCUUACCGAAGAAAUAAUAAGGAGAUAAGCAGCAUACAGCCAAAAAUCAAAGAACUCCCCCCCUUCUUACAGAAAGUCCUUACAAAAGGACAAUAGCAGAGAAAGAGGCGUCACCAGCUCAGCCAGACGCUGUCUGCUGCUGCGAGCCUUUUCAGAGAGCGGGGCACAGGAAGGUUGCACGAACACAGGGGACACUCGGGGAUUUUAGCAGGAGCCGCGUUACGACCACGCUGCACCUCCGCCGGGCUGCAGGUCCAGGACGGACAAAUCAACACCACUAACAAAGUUCUGGUCUCCCUCCCCUUCUAGCCCAGUUUGAUGUUUCCUGCAAACAUGGUGAUCAGCAGUAUGAUGGUGAAGCCGGUGAGCAGCCCUGCGUUCUGGAUCAGGAAGAAGAUGAUCUUGGUGGAAGUGCGCCUCUGUUCCCGUAAUAUGUUGUCCAUCUCUGGAAACUGAGAUGAAGAAAGACAAUCAGAUAUCAAAAAAUACAAUGGCCUCAUUGUUCAACACUCUACAUAAUGGGAAGUUACAACAUAUAAACAAGAAGUGGGAAUCAGUUGA